rnacentral:rRNA from 1 species
UUUUUAUGGAGAGUUUGAUCCUGGCUCAGGAUGAACGCUGGCGGCGUGCCUAAUACAUGCAAGUCGAGCGAACAGACGAGGAGCUUGCUCCUCUGACGUUAGCGGCGGACGGGUGAGUAACACGUGGAUAACCUACCUAUAAGACUGGGAUAACUUCGGGAAACCGGAGCUAAUACCGGAUAAUAUAUUGAACCGCAUGGUUCAAUAGUGAAAGACGGUUUUGCUGUCACUUAUAGAUGGA